UAUAGUGACCUAUUUGUGCGCAGAGCAAGUAAUUUUAGUUUUUUAAUAUUGCACCACAAACGCUGCCAUGUGGAGUGAUGUCGAACCUAACGUUACAUCUCGGAGCUCUCAGAAGGCGCUCAGGUGUAUUCUCCCACUCAGAGUUCGGAACUUUCCCAGUUGCUCAUUAACGCAUCUUCCAAAACAGAGAGGUUUGAUUCAGAUGUGGUGUGUAAUUCACUUCUAACAUCUCAGGAAGAAAUCUGGAAACAAAGAGGAGCAACAGUGAUCAUAUUUAAGGGUGGAACUGGAAGACGAGGAAGAGUCGCCUGGACGCAGGUGCCCUGUCACAUUUCGGGAGGGAGCCCGUGGACUGAGGGAAUACUGUGCCGUAGUGAGCAGCAGCAGCCGACACAGUGUAAUAAAAAGAGGCCCAGCUAAAGAGGACCAGCCCAGGAGAAGACUGGACCCAGAACGAUUAUUUCGCUGUCAUAACAGACUUAACUAAAGUGGUUAAAAUUGCCUGUCGUUGCUUAGCGAUCAUUAAGAGGGAUGAGAGAAGGAAGCUGAUGUUCAUGACUACCCUCCACAUUGUAGUAAGCCACCCGUGUGUUCCUGUCCUAUGUCAGACAUCAUUUUGUAACCCUGAGAUCUGACAAAGCAAAAAUAACUUUAUAUAAA